GAUGAACGCUGGCGGCGUGCCUAAUACAUGCAAGUCGAGCGAACGGACGAGAAGCUUGCUUCUCUGAUGUUAGCGGCGGACGGGUGAGUAACACGUGGAUAACCUACCUUUAAGACUGGGAUAACUUCGGGAAACCGGAGCUAAUACCGGAUAAUAUUUUGAACCGCAUGGUUCAAAAGUGAAAGACGGUCUUGCUGUCACUUAUAGAUGGAUCCGCGCUGCAUUAGCUAGUUGGUAAGGUAACGGCUUACCAAGGCAACGAUGCAUAGCCGACCUGAGAGGGUGAUCGGCCACACUGGAACUGAGACACGGUCCAGACUCCUACGGGAGGCAGCAGUAGGGAAUCUUCCGCAAUGGGCGAAAGCCUGACGGAGCAACGCCGCGUGAGUGAUGAAGGUCCUCGGAUCGUAAAACUCUGUUAUUAGGGAAGAACAUAUGUGUAAGUAACUGUGCACAUCUUGACGGUACCUAAUCAGAAAGCCACGGCUAACUACGUG
rnacentral:rRNA from 1 species